GACGAACGCUGGCGGCGUGCUUAACACAUGCGAGUCGAACGGAAAGGCCCCUUUGGGGGUACUCGAGUGGCGAACGGGUGAGUAACACGUGAGUAACCUGCCCUUGACUUCGGGAUAACUUCAGGAAACUGGGGCUAAUACCGGAUAGGAAUCCUUGCUGCAUGGUGGGGGUUGGAAAGCUUCGGCGGUUUUGGAUGGACUCGCGGCUUAUCAGCUUGUUGGUGGGGUAGUGGCUUACCAAGGCUUUGACGGGUAGCCGGCCUGAGAGGGCGACCGGCCACAUUGGGACUGAGAUACGGCCCAGACUCCUACGGGAGGCAGCAGUGGGGAAUAUUGCACAAUGGGCGGAAGCCUGAUGCAGCAACGCCGCGGGCGGGAUGACGGCCUUCGGGUUGUAAACCGCUUUCAGCAGGGGCGAAGCUUGUGGUGACGGUACCUGCAGAAGAAGCACCGGCUAACUACGUG
rnacentral:rRNA from 1 species